rnacentral:rRNA from 1 species
GUGCACCAGGCGAGAAUCCUUCGCAAUGCGGGAAACCGCGACGAGGGGACUCCCAGUGCCUACGCUCAGCGUAGGCUGUUCCCGAGCCUAGAAAGCUCGGGGAGUAAGGGCUGGGUAAGACGGGUGCCAGCCGCCGCGGUAAUACCCGCAGCCCGAGUGGUGGCCACUAUUAUUGGGCCUAAAGCGUCCGUAGCCGGCCCGGUAAAUGCCUGGGUAAAUCGUGAGGCCUAACCUCACGAAUUCCGGGUAGACUGCCGGGCUAGGGGACCGGAGGAGGGAGAGGGUACUCCAGGGGUAGGGGUGAAAUCCUGUAAUCCCUGGAGGACCACCGGUGGCGAAGGCGCUCUCCUAGGACGGGUCCGACGGUGAGGGGACGAAAAGCCAGGGGGAGCGAACCGGAUUAGAUACCCCUGUAGU